rnacentral:misc_RNA from 1 species
UGUGCGGCCGACACUUGC